AUUGAACGCUGGCGGCAGGCCUAACACAUGCAAGUCGAACGGUAACAGGAAGCAGCUUGCUGCUUCGCUGACGAGUGGCGGACGGGUGAGUAAUGUCUGGGAAGCUGCCUGAUGGAGGGGGAUAACUACUGGAAACGGUAGCUAAUACCGCAUAAUGUCGCAAGACCAAAGAGGGGGACCUUCGGGCCUCUUGCCAUCGGAUGUGCCCAGAUGGGAUUAGCUUGUUGGUGGGGUAACGGCUCACCAAGGCGACGAUCCCUAGCUGGUCUGAGAGGAUGACCAGCCACACUGGAACUGAGACACGGUCCAGACUCCUACGGGAGGCAGCAGUGGGGAAUAUUGCACAAAGGGCGCAAGCCUGAUGCAGCCAUGCCGCGUGUAUGAAGAAGGCCUUCGGGUUAUAAAGUACUUUCAGCGGGGAGGAAGGGAGUAAAGUUAAUACCUUUGCUCAUUGACGUUACCCGCAGAAGAAGCACCGGCUAACUCCGUG
rnacentral:rRNA from 1 species